AAUAAAUCAAUUUUUCACUUUUUACCUACAUUUUUUUACUCUUCGUCUUAUUCAAAAAAAAUUUGCGAUUGAUAUUUUUGUUUUUAUUGGAUGAUAAAUCAUAAAUAGUAUUUUACAUGUGACUAAUUUUUUUCUAAUUUUCUAAAAGUUUUUCAAAUAAGACGGAUGGUCAAACGUUGAACAUAGAAACU
rnacentral:pre_miRNA from 1 species